UACGGAGGAUCCGAGCGUUAUCCGGAUUUAUUGGGUUUAAAGGGUGCGCAGGCGGGAGAUUAAGUCGGCGGUGAAAUUUUGCAGCUCAACUGUAAAAGUGCCUUCGAAACUGGUUUCCUUGAGUGUAGAUGAAGUAGGCGGAAUUCCUAGUGUAGCGGUGAAAUGCGUAGAUAUUAGGAAGAAUACCAGUAGCGAAGGCGACUUACUGGCCUCUAACUGACGCUGAUGAACGAAAGCGUGGGGAUCAAACAGGAUUAGAUACCCUGGUAGUCCCUGA
rnacentral:rRNA from 1 species